rnacentral:lncRNA from 1 species
CUCACCUCCCCAGUUUGAGUGCUUUUUUGCAUCCAUUUGACACGUAAUCUAUUCAACAAAGUUCUUAGCUAUCGUUAUGUCACUGGUUUCUUUUACGUAAGUUUUUCUUAUAUCAAAUUGGCAAAAAGAGAUAUGGAAUUCAGGAACUUGUAACACCAUUAGUAACAAGACAGCCCCGCAAAUAUUUUGAAAAUUGGGAUCCAGGCUGCUAUGACAUUUCCAAGCUCCUCAGAAACUAUCUACCAUGCUGCCACAAACAACUAGGUAAGGGAGCUGGCUGGCUGCCCAGCCUCUACGGAACACACAACCUGGCUAAAGGACACGCACUCCAACUAGACAAUGGCAAACCAUUCUAAAGUCUAGAAGAAGGGUACUCCAGCAAAGAGUAAUGCCGCCUAGAUAACCCCAAACUUAAAUCCUCCAAGCGUUUCCCCGCCUCGCAGUUUCGCCGACUCAGGGGCCCCCGGGGAACUGGGGCUGGGCUGCGGGGAGGUCGCAGAGGAGCAGGGCGAGGGGCGGGAGACCGAGCGAUGCCCGCCCGACGCUCACCUCGCGCACCUGGGCCGGGCGGGAGGAGCAGGGAUGCUCAGAGGACAGUAGCUGGGUGACAUCCCCUA